CCCAGCCCUGCCCUCAAGCCUGGAGUUUCCAGGGCAUUGCCACCCUCGGUGGACCAAAGGGGGCGUCUGCAGGAUUGCUGCUGGACCUUACUCAAUCCGGAGCAGAAGCCACGCGCAGAGCGGAAGCAGAAGUCUUGGCUCUCAGCCCGGCAGAGAACAACUUCCUUCCUGGAAUGGACAGUGGCCGGCAGACAUCACUGGGAUCAGAAGAAAAGCAGUGUUGGAGCCAGAAAGAACUCAGAGGGAGACGGGACCACCGGCCCCUAUCCAGCAGCACCCUGAAGACCAUGAAUCCCCCUAAGCCUACCUUCCAAGUCCAUCUCACGGCUGCAGCCCUGCCUGGGGACAUCUGGCCAUUUGUCACCCUCCUAGAGAGUAAGGAUAGGACUAAGGGUGUCCAUUAACUCAGGAGGUGGAAAAUGAAUGCUAGAAUCAACCUUGUAAUACAGCAAAGCAAAUUCUCUACAGAGGCAACAUCUUAGAUGCUUAAUAUCCUGGAAAA